CCUACGGGUGGCAGCAGUGAGGAAUAUUGGUCAAUGGGCGCGAGCCUGAACCAGCCAAGUAGCGUGAAGGAUGACUGCCCUACGGGUUGUAAACUUCUUUUAUAAAGGGAUAAAGUGAGGCACGUGUGCCUUUUUGUAUGUACUUUAUGAAUAAGGAUCGGCUAACUCGGUGCAAGCAGCCGCGGUAAUACGGAGGAUCCGAGCGUUAGCCGGAUUUAUUGGGUUUAAAGGGAGCGUAGAUGGGUUGUUAAGUCAGGUGUGAAAGGUUGCGGCUCAACCGUAAAAGUGCAAUUGAUACUGGCAGUCUUGAGUACAGUUGAGGUAGGCGGAAUUCGUGGUGUAGCGGUGAAAUGCUUAGAUAUCACGAAGAACUCCGAUUGCGAAGGCAGCUUACUAAACUGCCACUGACAUUGAUGCUCGAAAGUGUGGGUAUCAAACAGGAUUAGAUACCCUUGUAGUC
rnacentral:rRNA from 1 species